rnacentral:lncRNA from 1 species
CUUUGUUUAACACCAGACAAUUUUAUUUGUCAAGGGUAGAGUGUUGGUGUUUAAUGGGUUAAGCACUUCUAAGGUACUGUUAAUUUUGAAAAUUCUUAACAAGGUAAACUAUUAGAUCAUUUUUGUGGCAUGAAGUACAUAUUGGUGUCAGCACUAAAUUGCUUCAAAGUUAUAUCAUGCAUAGCUAGAUCAAGCAAAAUUAUAAUGAGCUUUAGCUCAUUUGUUUUAACAGCAUGGAAAUUCUCUAAAUUUAACCCAUUAAGUGACAAUGUACCCAGAUGCACCCUACUUUAUUAUUUUACUCUGUCUAUUACAGUAAUGCCAGAUGAUUUUACUCGUAGCACUGUGCACAAUACAAUAGUACCUUCAUAAGAAAUGUUCAAUAUGUCUACAGACUACAAGAGUUCUCGCAAAAUGAUCAAUAUUUUGCAUUACUUGUACUAUUGUUCUCAUAACAUGUUCAAGAUCACUAUUUCUUGAUUGUUUUUUUGUUCUUCUCUUUGGGCAAUGACUCCUCACUGACAUUACACAUUUACACCACUUGCUUUGCUUUAAUACCAGAAUGCCGUCCAGAAUUGAAACAUUUCCUUGAAUGGAUUGUCAGCUGCUGUUGGGUUUUACAGUAAAAUAUCAUUCCUUCUCCCUUGUGCUCGCUGGUAUUAAACCGAAAUACUCUCAAACAUCAUCCUGGCAGAACCGUUCUGUGAGCACAAACUGAAAUUCUUCGCUCAACAAAAACCUUGUCAGGGCAACAACUGAAUUUACAGUCUCUUUAAUUGAUAGUCCAGUAAAGGUUUGGGCAAUC